AAGCUGCAGUGCUGGGGAAUUACAGGAAUUACAGGCCAUGGUUUGCUCGUGUCUUCUGCAGUCACAUUGUGCAAGAACACUGCCAACGACCUGCAUCAGAGAUGGGAGUCUGCACUGGGACUGACACUUGACUUAGCCUGUUAAGGACUGCAGUGUUAUUCCAACGAACUUGAAGUGGGUCAGAAGGAAGAAAUAAGGGAAAAAAUAAACAACUCCAAACAUACAGAUCUACCUGAAAUGGUGAACCUCCUGUGCACAAGAACCAUUCCCUCGUGGCUGGACCACAGAAGGACAUGAGAUGUUUGGGACACAGCUGGGGUGACCUGGGAAGCCACAAGGUGCAUCAUGCUUCCUGUGCUGAUCUGUUCUCCUCCACCUGCCUGUCUUCCUUCUUGUUUGACCCACCUGGAAUUAACACUAUAAGCACUUAACAAGCAUGUCAAUUAGUUCUCUGUGUAAGCUCAAAGGGUAGCUUUUAGUGAAACCUCUUUUUGUAUAUUAUGUAUGGAAAUAGAAAAUUUGCACUAAAAAUGGUAAUUGUCUGCACCUUGGACAGUCACAGAACAGAGCUCAGACAUGAAAGGAGGAGCUCCAGAGGAAUCUGUGCUAGCAGAUGUGACACACUGGGUCAUAAAUCUGCACCAAAAGAAGGCUGAGGCUCCAAAUUCAGCAUUAGGUAAUAAAAUCAGAGCUAUCAUUACACUUGUGCUAGUGUGUGGUAGCUAGAAACUCAUGUGUAAAAGAAAGCUA